UGCAAGUCGAACGAACUCUUCGGAGUUAGUGGCAGACGGGUGAGUAACGCGUGGGAACCUACCUUUAGGUACGGAACAACAGUUGGAAACGACUGCUAAUACCGUAUGUGCCCUAUGGGGGAAAGAUUUAUCGCCUAAGGAUGGGCCCGCGUUGGAUUAGCUAGUUGGUGGGGUAAAGGCCUACCAAGGCGACGAUCCAUAGCUGGUCUGAGAGGAUGAUCAGCCACACUGGGACUGAGACACGGCCCAGACUCCUACGGGAGGCAGCAGUGGGGAAUAUUGGACAAUGGGCGCAAGCCUGAUCCAGCCAUGCCGCGUGAGUGAUGAAGGCCCUAGGGUUGUAAAGCUCUUUCAGCGAGGAGGAUAAUGACGUUACUCGCAGAAGAAGCCCCGGCUAACUUCGUGCCAGCAGCCGCGGUAAUACGAAGGGGGCUAGCGUUGUUCGGAAUCACUGGGCGUAAAGCGCACGUAGGCGGACUUUUAAGUCAGGGGUGAAAUCCCGGGGCUCAACCCCGGAACUGCCUUUGAUACUGGAAGUCUUGAGUCCGAGAGAGGUGAGUGGAACUCCGAGUGUAGAGGUGAAAUUCGUAGAUAUUCGGAAGAACACCAGUGGCGAAGGCGGCUCACUGGCUCGGUACUGACGCUGAGGUGCGAAAGCGUGGGGAGCAA
rnacentral:rRNA from 1 species